rnacentral:rRNA from 1 species
GACGAACGCUGGCGGCGUGCUUAACACAUGCAAGUCGAACGGAAAGGCCCUGCUUUUGUGGGGUGCUCGAGUGGCGAACGGGUGAGUAACACGGGAGUAACCUGCCCUUGACUUUGGGAUAACUUCAGGAAACUGGGGCUAAUACCGGAUAGGAGCUCCUGCUGCAUGGUGGGGGUUGGAAAGUUUCGGCGGUUGGGGAUGGACUCGCGGCUUAUCAGCUUGUUGGUGGGGUAGUGGCUUACCAAGGCUUUGACGGGUAGCCGGCCUGAGAGGGUGACCGGCCACAUUGGGACUGCGAUACGGCCCAGACUCCUACGGGAGGCAGCAGUGGGGAAUCUUGCACAAUGGUCGGAAGCCUGAUGCAGCAACGCCGCGUGCGGGAUAACGGCAUUCGGGUUGUAAACCGUUUUCGCCUGUGACGAAGCGUGAGUGACGGUAAUGGGUAAAGAAGCACCGGCUAACUACGUG